GAUGAACGCUGGCGGCGUGCCUAAUACAUGCAAGUCGAGCGAACAGACGAGGAGCUUGCUCCUCUGACGUUAGCGGCGGACGGGUGAGUAACACGUGGAUAACCUACCUAUAAGACUGGGAUAACUUCGGGAAACCGGAGCUAAUACCGGAUAAUAUAUUGAACCGCAUGGUUCAAUAGUGAAAGACGGUUUUGCUGUCACUUAUAGAUGGAUCCGCGCCGCAUUAGCUAGUUGGUAAGGUAACGGCUUACCAAGGCAACGAUGCGUAGCCGACCUGAGAGGGUGAUCGGCCACACUGGACCUGAGACACGGUCCAGACUCCUACGGGAGGCAGCAGUAGGGAAUCUUCCGCAAUGGGCGAAAGCCCGACGGAGCAACGCCGCGUGAGUGAUGAAGGUCUUCGGAUCGUAAAACUCUGUUAUUAGGGAAGAACAAAUGUGUAAGUAACUAUGCACGUCUUGACGGUACCUAAUCAGAAAGCCACGGCUAACUACGU
rnacentral:rRNA from 1 species